GGGCCGGUGGUGUAGUUGGUUAUCACGUCUGUCUAACAUGUCUUCUCAUGGCGCACAGACGGUCCUCAGUUCAAGUCUGGGCCGGCUCA